UGUUACUUAUAAGAAAAAUGUUUUGGAAUAGUAAAAUUAUGGAAAUUUAUCGGAUUUGGCGGCAAGAUAGCUAUUUAGAGGAACCUGCCCUGUAAACGAUGAGCCUCGAGAACCUUACUUUUUUUUGAAACUCAGUUUGUAUAUCGCUGUUGUCAGUUAGUUUCCUUAGAAAACUUUCUUAAAUGGUAAAGCCAUGGACUUCAAGUAAAGGUGCAGCCGAUAAAAAAGAAAGAGGUGGGUUACAAUAAAAAGAUUUAAACGGAUAAAGUUUGUGAAAUGACUUUUGAAGGUGGAUUUAAAUGUAAAAUUAAAAAAAAUUUGAUAAAAGCUCUGUCUUGUG
rnacentral:rRNA from 1 species